rnacentral:lncRNA from 1 species
AGAGGGUCCCCUGGACGGGAAAGCUCAUGCCAUCUUUCUGAUGGCUCAGCUCCCCUGGCUAAGCUUAAGUUCCUGGAGUCCCCUCUUCCCAGGCAGAAGGUGGAAGAUAGAGCAAUAAUAAUCUCUUGUCUCAAGGGUUUAUAUGCUCCUGGCAACCCCCAGACAGAGGCCUCAUCCCACUGGGACUCCAGCUGCACAGGAAUGACCCUGCCUGGUGGAUCUGGCUUUGGGUCCAGCUUCUCUCUUACAGGCUCCCUCCCACGCACUCUGUUUCACUGAUGACACAGCAGCUCCCCGAUAGCGAGCUGCUGCCAUGUGCCAGGCACUCGGCUUAAUCCUCACCACCCCUAUGAAGUAGGACUUGAUAACUCCAUGUUACAGGUGAGAGUUUAAAUAACAAACCACACAGCUAGUAGGCUGCAGAGCUCAGUGGACCUCUAGGUUUGUUCAAGUUCACGUCUAUUCUCUGAACAGCUCUGCUUUCCUGGCACCCUUAUCACAGUGUAUGACGCUUGUCCAAGUACAGGUCUGAGUCCUCACUAGAAUGUGAGUGGGGCCUUAGAUGUGGGGAGAUGCUGGAUGUGUCAGCCCAGAAACCUGGUUUGAAACAGUGUGGACAUUUCCCAGCGUCAUAGGACCUUGACGCUUGAAUUUUCUUUUUUUUUUUUCUUUUAGGAGGUUCCCAGGCUAGGGGUCGAAUCAGAGCUAAAGCUGUCAGUCACAGCCACAGCCACGCCAGAUCUGAGCAGCGUCUGCAACCUACACCACAGCUCACGGUGUGGCUGGAUCUUUAAUCCACUGAGCGAGACCAGGGAUUGAACCUGUGUCCUCAUGGAUCCUAGUCAGAUUUGUUUCUGCUGAGCCAUGAUGGGAUCUCCAUUGCUUAAUUUUUCUAAAGUUUGUUUCUCAUUGUUAAAAUAGGGCUAACCAUGCCUCGUAUCAUUAUAUGAUUAUGCCCAUGUGAUUCACAGUGCCAGCCAAGUGCCCAGGCCAUGCGUGAUCAAUGUUUGAUGUGUGGAUGAAUUCAAACUGAGCCUUCCUGCGAGCCUGGCUGUGCUGAUGUCCUGGGUGCCUCCCUCUUCUUUGUAAUCCUAGGUUGGAGAGUAGCGGUUUAUACUUUCAUAUUCUUACACUGGCAAGUGCUGCUGAAUGGAAAUACCUGCUUGGAAUGGUAGCAGGUGGGGCAAGAAUCCAAAAUAUUCCCCCCACCACAAAACCCAACCACUGAGACACAAUGGGAACUCCAGUUUCAUCCAUUUUUAUAAAAAAUGAAAGUAAGGCCUAUCUUGAAGAAGGGGAGUCACCUUCAUUUGGCAAAGUGUUAGAAUAAUAAUAUUUACUUUGUCAUUACGAGGACUGGAGAUAAUAGCACAUGUUUGUGCUUCUCUAACUGGGUUGCGUAACUCUGAGCACCCAGUCAUACAGGUCAGGGCCUUGAGAAGGAACAGAAGGGCUAUGAUGUUCUAAAUCAUAGAUGCACAGAAAAUUAGGAGAUAAAAUUGAUUUUGCAAUUUAAAGAGAACAUUAAUACCCUCUGGAGGAAUUAUAGUGGGAAGCACACAGUCUCCGGAGCCAGACUGUCUGGGCCCCAAUUCUGUUUUGACACUUGCCGGCUGUGCAACCUCAGGUAAUCUAUUUAACUUCUCAGGUUAAGCUACUUAAUCUCAGUAUUCUCAUUUGCAUAAUAGAGGUAAUACUAGUGGAGCUUCAUAGAAACACCUCAAAGAAGACUUAAUACAUGAAAAUAGCUUAAGACAGCAUCUCUUUUAAGUGCUCAAUAAAUGUUAGCUCAUGCUAUUAUGAGGGACAGAAUGGAAAAGUCACAUUCUUUUACAAGAUAAAAUAGGAGACUUCCAUGAAUUUUUGCACAUGCUCCAAUUGGCCUCGAGCUAAAUUUUUAAAACCAGCUGGGUUCUCUUAUUUGUUCUGUGCAUGGAGGCACUUUUCUGGAAAUUUUUGAGAGGUACUGUGGAUGACGCCUGGCACAUAGUUGGUGCAAAAUACAUUAUAGCUGUCAUCAUCAACAUUGUUAGUGCCAUUCAAAGGACUGUUAGGUCUGUCAAAUUUGAGAAAUGGUUUCCUUACUUUAGUGAGCUGACGUCAGUGAGAGCUCUUGCAUCUUCUUGGAUGAGGAGGGUUUUCUGAGGCUGUUUGUAGGGCCUGGGAAAAUAUGAGGCAUAGUCCUUUUUAAGAUUUGGGGGUUAAAGAUGAGGUCUGUCUAUUCUCCCUGCUGAUGGCCUGCUUCUUUGCUAAGUAGCAAUAAAUGGCUUUUGGUGAUUUUUAGAAUUCAAAUCUCUUCUUGGAGGACUAGCCAUUUUGAAAGAGCUUCUAAGCAUUUACUGGGUAAUAUAUGAAAAGGAUUUAACCUUAUUAAAACCUCCCAAAUGUAGAUUUAAAAAAACAUAAUUUCUUUUUUGAAAUUAGUCAAUAUUGGGAAACUGAAAAGACUCCGUGCUGCCAACGGGAUGGUGAGUUAGGUAUUGCCAUUGGGUUGAGUUAUACCUGAUCCCGUAAAGUGAAAAUUGCAUAUAGUCAAUAUUACCUUUGACCUGACUACUAAGUAUAGCACACAUGAUUUGCGCUAAUUUCAAUACUAAUUGAUUUGAAAAUCUUUUUAUUUUGAAAAUGUCUAUCACACACAGAAAUAAAUUGUGUACAGAAAAAUUUCUCUGUAGCCAUUACUCUGCUUCAACUCAGCAUUUUGCCAUAUUGGUUCAUCUACCAACUAGCCUUCUCACCUUUUAUUUUGCUGCAAUAAUUUAAAGCAAAUUAUAGACAUCAUGUCAUUUGUUUAUAUUAAGUAUUUGCCUACAUUUUAAAAAGUCUUUUUUUUUUUUAAAUCAUGCUGUAAUGACAUGAUCACACCCAACAAAAUUAACCGUAACUUAUUGGUAUCAUCUAAUACCAGCUUUCCUUCAUUUGCUAAAAAGCUUUUCUUUAACAGCUGGUUUGUUUGAAUGAGACUUUCAACAGGACCCACAUGUUCACAUGAAUUCUUAUGCAUAAUAUAGAGUUGAGAAGUUCUAAGCCAAAUUAGAGGAAGAAAGAAAAGAAUAAUUAUAACUAUUAAUAAUGAUUUAAUGAAGGGGGUGCCUUAAAAAUUAAUGUGUUUUUCUAUUUUGCUUUUUUCUUUUCUUGACCUUUGCUCUAGCUGACUGGAGGCAUCCAUCAUCCUGGGGGUAGGUCAUGAUUUAUAAAAGAAGCAACGCAGAAAGAAAGGGCACGUUAAUAUCCUUCCUCUGACAUGUAGAAUAGAAUUUUUCAGCCAGAAGAUAACCUUGCAAGCCAGGUGUUGUCCUAAAAGAGGAAUUCUAAAUUCCUUUAAUCUUGCCCUUUAGCUUUUCAACAAUGCUUUCUGAUUGAGCCAGCUUAUGGAGUGCCCCCAGUGGGUACCAAAAAAACAUCCCUGUGCUCCAUUAAGGCAUCUCCUGGAAGCUGCAGUGAAAGAUGGAAGGAAUGAUGUGAUGGUAGAGAGGCUAUCUGACUUUUUGGGACUUUGUGAGGUAGUUAAAAAGACAUAGGAAGAGAAAGAAGGAAUGAGGAGGUGAGAGAUCAAUUUACGUUGUAUGUUCUCCCAGCUUUGCCCCAGAAAGUUGGGAAGCAUAUUGAAUAAGUAUAACCAAGGACAGAAGGGAUCUUGUACUUCUUACCAUUGGAGACUCUGCUGAAUAUAUUGUCAUUCCAGGCUGUGACCAUAUCCAUGUGUCGCGUGGCCAGGCAGAGAUGAUCACCCAGAAAGUGAUGGGAAUUUGGCUAGGAGGCAUUGCCAAUGGGGAGUUGCUAUGGUUGGGCAGCUCAAGGUGCCCUGGAGAAAGGGUUACCUGGUGGACCACCUGGUCCAGGACAAAUUAGAAUCAUAGCAAAUGGGAGGAGUCUAGAGUCAGCAGAGGUGUCUAAAUUGCCAGGGAGAGCUGGGCCGCACCCAUGGCAUAUGGAGGUUCCCAGGCUAGGGGUCCAACUGGAGCUGUAGCUGCUGGCCUACACCACAGUCACAGCAACGUGGGAUCCGAGCCGCAUCUGCAACCUACACCACAGCUCAUGGCAACACCGGUUCAUUAACCCACGGAGCAAGGCCAGGGAUUGAACCUGCAACCUCAUGGAUCCUAGUCAGAUUCAUUAACCACUGUACCAUGACGGGAACUCCUA